GGGCCAGUGGCGCAAUGGAUAACGCGUCUGACUACAGAUCAGAAGAUUCUAGGUUCGGCUCCUGGCUGGCUCG